rnacentral:rRNA from 1 species
UAGAGUUUGAUCCAUGGCUCAGGAUGAACGCUGGCGGCAUGCCUAACACAUGCAAGUCGAACGGACCCUUCGGGGUUAGUGGCGGACGGGUGAGUAACGCGUGAGAAUCUACCUUCAGGAUGGGGACAACAGCGGGAAACUGCUGCUAAUCCCCAAUAAGCCGCAAGGUGAAAGAUUUAUCGUCUGAAGAGGAGCUCGCGUCUGAUUAGCUAGUUGGUGGGGUAAAAGCCUACCAAGGCGACGAUCAGUAGCUGGUCUGAGAGGAUGAGCAGCCACACUGGGACUGAGACACGGCCCAGACUCCUACGGGAGGCAGCAGUGGGGAAUUUUCCGCAAUGGGCGCAAGCCUGACGGAGCAAUGCCGCGUGAGGGAGGAAGGCCUUUGGGUUGUAAACCUCUUUUCUCAGGGAAGAAGACAGGGACGGACCUGAGAAUCAGCCUCG